rnacentral:rRNA from 1 species
AUUGAACGCUGGCGGCAGGCCUAACACAUGCCAGUCGAGCGGAUGAAGGGAGCUUGCUCCUGGAUUCAGCGGCGGACGGGUGAGUAAUGCCUAGGAAUCUGCCUGGUAGUGGGGGAUAACGUCCGGAAACGGGCGCUAAUACCGCAUACGUCCUGAGGGAGAAAGUGGGGGAUCUUCGGACCUCACGCUAUCAGAUGAGCCUAGGUCGGAUUAGCUAGUUGGUGGGGUAAAGGCGUACCAAGGCGACGAUCCGUAACUGGUCUGAGAGGAUGAUCAGUCACACUGGAACUGAGACACGGUCCAGACUCCUACGGGAGGCAGCAGUGGGGAAUAUUGGACAAUGGGCGAAAGCCUGAUCCAGCCAUGCCGCGUGUGUGAAGAAGGUCUUCGGAUUGUAAAGCACUUUAAGUUGGGAGGAAGAGCAGUAAGUUAAUACCUUGCUGUUUUGACGUUACCAACAGAAUAAGCACCGGCUAACUUCGUG